GCGCUCUUGGUGUAAUGGUAACACACGCUCUCUAAAGUUUUCGGAGCGGUCCUGGGUUCGACUCCCGGAGGGCGCC